UGGGGAAUAUUGGACAAUGGGCGAAAGCCUGAUCCAGCGACGCCGCGUGAGUGAUGAAGGCCUUCGGGUUGUAAAGCUCUGUUGAGGGAGAAGAAAACAGUUAGAGCGAAUAGGUCUAGCUCUUGACGGUAUCCCUUUUAGAAAGCACCGGCUAACUCUGUGCCAGCAGCCGCGGUAAGACAGAGGGUGCAAACGUUGCUCGGAAUUACUGGGCGUAAAGCGCGUGUAGGCGGACCUGUAAGUUGGACGUGAAAGCCCUGGGCUCAACCCAGGAAUUGCAUCCAAAACUACAGGCCUAGAGUGAUGGAGAGGGUAGCAGAAUUCCUGGUGUAGAGGUGAAAUUCGUAGAUAUCAGGAGGAACACCGGUGGCGAAGGCGGCUACCUGGACAUCAACUGACGCUGAGACGCGAAAGCGUGGGGAGCAAACAGGAUUAGAUACCCUGGUAGUCCACGCCGUAAACGAUGAGUGCUGGGUGUCGUGGGUUUUGACCCCCGCGGUGCCGUAGCUAACGC
rnacentral:rRNA from 1 species